rnacentral:rRNA from 1 species
GGGAGUCAGACUGUACGAGAUAAGUUGGACAGUCAAAAGGGAAAGAGCCCAGACCGCCGGCUAAGGUCCCAAAGUGGGUGUUAAGUGGAAAAGGAUGUGGGAUCUCUAAGACAACCAGGAUGUUGGCUCAGAAGCAGCCAUUCAUUAAAAGAGUGCGUAACAGCUCACUGGUCGAGAGGUCCUGCGCCGAAAAUGUCCGGGGCUGAAACACCACACCGAAGCCGCGGAACUCGUAAGAGUUGGUAGAGGAGCAUUCUUAGGGGAGGGAAGCAUUACCGGAAGGGGAUGUGGACUGCUAAGAAGAGAGAAUGCCGGAAUGAGUAGCGAGAGCAAGGUGGGAAUCCUUGCGGCCGAAUAUCCAAGGUUUCCAGAGUAAAGCUGAUCUGCUCUGGGUAAGUCGGGGCCUAAGGAGAGGCAGAGAUGCGUAUCCGAUGGACAGCAGGUAAAAGAUUCCUGCACCCCUUGUUAUCAGAACUGCGGGGACACGGGAAGGGAAGCAGAGCCGGGAAUGGAAAGCCCGGUGCAAGCGAAGUAGUCGCAGGAUUGGAAAAUCCGUCCUGCAUGAGACGAAGGCGUGAUGCGGAGCGAAACGAAGUAGCGAAGCUGCGGCCCCUUCCUGUCGAGAAAAGCCGCUAUCGUGUAGCAAGGGCCCGUACCGUAAACCGACACAGGUGGAUGAGGAGAGGAUCCUAAGGCCGGCGGGAGAAGUGUUGUUAAGGAACUCGGCAAAAUGACUCCGUAACUUCGGGAGAAGGAGUGCUGCGCAAGCAGCCGCAGAGAAAUGGCCCAAGCAACUGUUUAGCAAAAACACAGGUCUAUGCGAAACCGAAAGGUGAGGUAUAUGGGCUGACGCCUGCCCGGUGCUGGAAGGUUAAGGGGAGAGGUUAGCGCAAGCGAAGCUUUGAACUUAAGCCCCAGUAAACGGCGGCCGUAACUAUAACGGUCCUAAGGUAGCGAAAUUCCUUGUCGGGUAAGUUCCGACCCGCACGAAAGGCGUAAUGAUUUGGGCACUGUCUCAACAACACACCCGGUGAAAUUGAAAUACCAGUGAAGAUGCUGGUUACCCGCGCCAGGACGGAAAGACCCCAUGGAGCUUUACUCCAGCCUGAUACUGGGAUUCGGUAUUGCAUGUACAGGAUAGGUGGGAGGCUAAGAACUUAUGGCGCCAGCCGUAAGGGAGCCGGUGUUGGGAUACCACCCCUGCAGUACUGGGUUUCUAACCUGCGCCCGUGACCCGGGCGGGGGACAAUGUCAGGCGGGGAGUUUGACUGGGGCGGUCGCCUCCGAAAGGGUAUCGGAGGCGCUCAAAGGU